CCUACGGGGCGCAGCAGUGGGGAAUAUUGCGCAAUGGGGGCAACCCUGACGCAGCAACGCCGCGUGAUUGAAGAAGGCCUUCGGGUUGUAAAGAUCUUUAAUCGGGGACGAAUUUUGACGGUACCCGAAGAAUAAGCUCCGGCUAACUACGUGCCAGCAGCCGCGGUAAUACGUAGGGAGCAAGCGUUAUCCGGAUUUACUGGGUGUAAAGGGCGUGUAGGCGGGCAUGCAAGCCUGAAGUGAAAUCUGGGGGCUUAACCCCCAAACUGCUUUUGAAACUAAUGGUCUUGAGUACCGGAGAGGUC
rnacentral:rRNA from 1 species